rnacentral:rRNA from 1 species
UACAGAGGGUGCGAGCGUUGUUCGGAAUUAUUGGGCGUAAAGGGCGCGUAGGCGGUGCGGUAAGUCACCUGUGAAAUCUCCUGGCUCAACUGGGAGCUUGCAGGCGAAACUGCCGUGCUGGAGUGUGGGAGAGGUGCGUGGAAUUCCUGGUGUAGCGGUGAAAUGCGCAGAUAUCAGGAAGAACACCCGUGGCGAAGGCGGCUCUCUGGGACGGUACUGACGCUGAGACGCGAAAGCGUGGGGAGCGAACAGG